CUCUGUGGAAGCGGUGGUGAAGAAUACACGUAAGCAAGACUGGUGUGAGUAAAAGCCAAAAUUAUACCUAUAUGCAAGGAGGAAGUUUUACUGUUGCAAAUUAGCUGUGUGGAUUUACUUUACCUGUUGUGGAGCCUCUUCAAAGGUUCGCCCCGGUCCAGAUCCCUUAAACUGCAAAUAGAAGAGAGGAGAGGGAAGCGUUCGGCUCGGUGCGACAGUGUUUAACUUUCCCCGACGCACAGGAAAUCUCUGUGGAGGCCUGCGCUACGACGAUUUACUACUCCAGGUCUGACAGUUCAUCUACUUACUGUAUCGCAGUAUUUCACCGUAAGCCCACCGCCCAGGAGAAGUAUUCUAGUGCCAUUGGAGUUCUGUGUCGCGGGUUGGCGCUCACCUCGGAGUGUGCAGAAGGGGAGGCGCCGCCCGAGCACCCUGUACGAAGAGAUCGGAGGAACAAGUCAUUUAUCAGCCAGUCGUAUGGACCCAAGUAACAGGUAGCCACUCUCACCGGAUCGAUUAUUCAUUGUGUGUUUCACUCUGCCUUCAGGAGAAAAGAAGGGCGCCACGAGUCAACAAAAGCCCAAAGAGGAAGACUAAGGGUUUUCAAAAGGGACGAAGGAGCUCCGUCCCCCUCUUCCCUCUGUGGACAUACUAACCCUCGCCGCAUAGUCCUCUCCGGCCCCUUUCUCCUCCUGCUGAACAGAGACGAUAAUUUUAAGAUUUACCUCCCCCUCCCUGAAUUAUUUUAAUUAAUUUAAAUAAAGUUGUUUUAAUAUUA